GAGCAAGGGCGUCAAAAAAAUGGCGUGUUUUUGCUUGAAGGUUGGCAAUAGCAAUAGCAAUUCUCCGUGCCUGUCAAGUUUCAAUUUCAUUUUGAUCAUGGCCUCGAACAAGUUGCUACAUU
rfam:Jatropha curcas cultivar GZQX0401 scaffold779_106, whole genome shotgun sequence.